GGUUGUGGCUCAGUGGUAGAGCACAUGCCUAGCAUGUAUGAGACCUUGGGUUCGAUCCUCAGCACUA
rnacentral:tRNA from 1 species